GCACAUGUGUUGCCCUGUUCUUCUCUUCCUGUGCAGGAGGCAGGCCAUCCUGCUCUCCAGGCAUAAGAGAAAGGCAACCUGUGACUGCUUGUGGAGGGAGUGGGACGGGCUGUGAAUAUUGUUUCUGUAGGUGGUGAGUACACCCAUUGGGUGCAGGCAGAUGCCCUCCAUGUAAGAGGAGCAUUUCAAGGACAAGGCGCUGUGGGUUUUGGCAGAGAAUCUCUGAAGCACCGUGGCAAACUCAAGAGUAAAGAAUGUGGUUUGGAAACCAUUGCAUUGAGAGCAUUUCCAGAGAUUUCAGAUCGCCAGCAACAGCAGCAGCAUUUUGGGAGUGAAGUCACCAAAGUUGGAAUCCAGAUGUGGGACUCUUAUGGUCUGAUUGCCGAGCAGGGGGAUCAGGAGCAUGGAUCGUGUGUCCUGCAGAAAGACAAUGCCGGCAUUCAAAAAUGUUCACCACGGAAAUAUUUUUGAUGAUGUUGACCGUGAGCACUUCAUCGGGCUCCUCUGCUGACUUUUCAGUGCAUUAAUCCCGAGUUCUUCAGGCCCCAUGGGGUGUUAUCGUUUGCUUUUUUAAAAAAUUAAAAAUGGAUUAUACCUUGCCUUGAUUUAUGCUUUUUGUGUGGCUUCAUAUUCAAUUAUACUGAACUCCAUUUGUGUGGCAGCACCAUGUGCGGUAUAAAGUCACUCUUGGUUCAGUGAUGCUUCUACCACCAUUCUUGCUAAUCAAGCAGUAGGUACGUAUUGUAUACCUACCUAUUCUGUGAUAGGUUCUGUGGGUGAAGCAGAAGCACAGUAACCAAGGUCCUAACCUCACGUCUUAUAUUCUUACCAGGAGUAAAAAGUCAUUGAUAUAUGUGAAAGUGGAAUACCAGUGGGAGAAGUGAGCAAUAGUUCCACGGAAUAGUUCUAGAGA
rnacentral:lncRNA from 12 species